UGGAGGCUCCACCUCAGACUCCAACUACUCCUGGGACUUCUGGUUCUAUUGCGCCUCAAGCCCAAUCUACUUCUCAGCCUCAGCCCUCACCUCGUCAACAGGUUCCUAGACAGCAGCUUCCACCUCCUGCUCUUCCACCACCACCGCCCUUGUCUAACCCACCACCGGUUAGAGAACGGCUCCCUCUUCCACCACCACCUCCAGAGAAACUAGAUCCUCCUAUUGUCACUCUGGAUGACCUGUUUCGGAAAACCAAAGCAACUCCUAGGAUCUACUAUUUGCCUCUGUCAGAAGAACAAGUUGCAGCAAAGCGAGCAGCACGUGGCAGAAACGUGAAGCAGUA
rnacentral:lncRNA from 1 species